UACGUAGGGUGCAAGCGUUAAUCGGAAUUACUGGGCGUAAAGCGUGCGCAGGCGGUUAUGCAAGACAGAGGUGAAAUCCCCGGGCUCAACCUGGGAACUGCCUUUGUGACUGCAUAGCUAGAGUACGGUAGAGGGGCGUGGAAUUCCGGGUGGAGCGGUGAAAUGCGUAGAGAUCCGGAGGAACACCGACGGCGUAGGCAGCGCCCUGGACGACACCUGACGCUGAGGCACGAAAGCUGGAGGAGCGAACAGG
rnacentral:rRNA from 1 species